rnacentral:rRNA from 1 species
CCUACGGGUGGCAGCAGUGAGGAAUAUUGGUCAAUGGGCGUAAGUCUGAACCAGCCAAGUCGCGUGCAGGAUGACGGUUCUAUGGAUUGUAAACCUCUUUUAUAAGGGAAUAAAGUGUGGGACGUGUACUGUCUUGUAUGUAUCUUAUGAAUAAGGAUCGGCUAACUCCGUGCCAGCAGCCGCGGUAAUACGGAGGAUCCGAGCGUUAUCCGGAUUUAUUGGGUUUAAAGGGUGCGUAGGCGGCCUUUUAAGUUAGCGGUGAAAGUCUGUGGCUCAACCAUAGAAUUGCCGUUGCAACUGGGAGGCUUGAGGAUGGUUGAGGCAGGCGGAAUGUGUGGUGUAGCGGUGAAAUGCUUAGAUAUCACGCAGAACCCCGAUUGCGAAGGCAGCCUGCCAAGCCAUGACUGACGCUGAUGCACGAAAGCGUGGGGAUCAAACAGGAUUAGAUACCCGAGUAGUC